CAUAAAACCCUGUUCCAGGCACCCAGUGCUGUCCCAGGGGAGCAUCAGCCCCACAGCUUAGGAAAUGAUGCUCAAAGAAAAUAAUCUGCAUCCAGAGCCAUGAAAAAAAUGCCGCACCAUCAUUUUCCAAUUGACUACAGGAGCAUCCACGUUCCUACGGGGCAGACCCCCACUGCAUCUGUCAACUCCUCCUCAGGGGAAGAGAUGAUUUUCAGUUUAAGCUGCUGGCCACCAUCUCACACCUUACUGAUCCAGUGUCCACAGGCUCUGAUUUGACACAGCAUUGAAACUGUCUCCGAGAAGGACCCAGCCAAGGUGGGUACAGGGCAGCACACAGCUCAUGCCAGUCUCCUGCCAGAGUUCCAUUCAUCCCCAGGAAGGACCUCAUGUUCCCUGUGAAGCAGCAAGCUCAGCAAACCAAGACCACACUGAGCUGGCCUGGAAGCCCAGCUCCUCUGGAACUUUAUUUUAUGUUCGGAUGGGCUGAAAGGAGAGCAUCCACCUUCCAAUUUCCUGUCUACAGGCACUUUGA